rnacentral:lncRNA from 1 species
GGAAAUAACAAUUUGCUCGUUCCACUUUUCCGUAUAAUUUGCUCCUUCCCCUUUAUAAUUCAUCUUCACACAUCUCUGUACUGAUCGUGCUCAUAUGUGCAACCAAUUUCCAGAAACAGUUUCACUCUUGUUCCAGAAAUUAAUUGUGUGUCAUCCUUUCUAACUAAGAAGAUCUCCAAUCUUGCUAGCAUCAGCAGGAAUAAUAAAUCAUAAUACGCCUGUUUUCUUCCAUAGGCAUGCAAUGACGCUAAACUUUCCAUAUUCCUCCAAAAGUUUGAAUGAUAAUCUAAUACGUUCGGAAAAUAAAUUUUCACUAUUAUAUGGUACAACAACAAAUCCAGUAAUUUCCCACAAGUGAGGUCUGGGGAGGGUGAAAUGUACGCAGCCUUACCCCUACCCUAGAAGGACAGAGUUUGUUUCCGAUCGACCCUCGGCUAGAGAACG